rnacentral:misc_RNA from 1 species
GCAAACUUGGUCAUUUAGAGGAAGUAAAAGUCGUAACAAGGUUUCCGUAGGUGAACCUGCGGAAGGAUCAUUAACGAAAGCUUCGGCUUUCUUGAUGUUGCAACCCUUUUGAUGACCAACCCUUUGUUGCUUCCACUGGUCCCGCAAGGGCCGCCGGUGGAUGGCUGAAUAUCACUAUUCUUUUGUGAAGUGAGUUACGGUACCUGUCUGAAGAAAGCUUCAAAUUAAAAACUUUCAACAACGGAUCUCUUGGCUCCUGCAUCGAUGAAGAACGCAGC